rnacentral:lncRNA from 1 species
GGUCUUUUACGUCGGCCUUCGCGAGCGUCUGGGCGGGUGGUAGGUGAGUGGGUAUUGCGGGCUAGUAUCCGAGCAAAAGAUGGUGGCGCAGGCCGAGUUAAGAGCUUUAAUCCUGUGAAGACAUCUUAGUGAAGAGUUUAGAGUGCUGAGAGUUGAAAGCUUGCACGUGGGAAACGUGCGGCCGGACUGCCACAUGUACUGAGGUUGAGUCGUGACGGCCACAGGCUCCGAGUUUUGGCGUGAGGAACCGCUGAUCGGCCACGGGCGCCGAACUUGCUGGCCUCCGGCAUGUGCCUGAGCGGCGGCGGAAAAACCACCUUAAUUGGGGCGGAGGGUUAGUUUUAACAGCAAAGGGCCUUUACUAAAAUGGCGAAGGCCUUCCGUCGGCGUUGUUUUAAAAUGGGAAGCCUCGACCCUGUAUUGAAACUGAGCUGUUCGAAGGCGGCGUUGUGUGCAAUUCGGAUUAAUGAAGGGGAAGGGUUUUGUGUGGAAAAACGCCUUGGAGUGUGACAUUUCUGCGAGAAUGCUUAAAUACCGAUUUCCCGCAGGAACAAUGGCGCUGUCUUCAGUGGCACAGUGGAGCAGCUCUGAAGAUGCAAAGGUAAGAGCUUAGUUAAGCUUAGUUUCCAAACUAAAGGAGUAAACCUGUUGAUUUACAGGAAUAGGAACUGUUGCAUCGUUUGAAAUUUACUUUUUUUUGUUAGAUACACGAAAAAACUUCCAGAACAUCUGGGAGAAUAUUUAAUGGAAAAUCGCUUGGUUAAAACCUGACACUUUUAACAGUGAACAGCGUUCUGAGUGUGGACGAGUAGCCAGUGAAGAUAAUGAAUGUCGAAUGUGACUGACUAGCAGCUUCAUUUUGAAGUAGGUUGUAUGGCUUAAAAGUUCUGUAGUAUUUGUACUAUAAUACUUGCCUUUUAGCAUUACCUUGGUUUGUAGUCAGUGUCACAGAAGUGCAGUUUAAUGUAUUAUGUGUACAUAUACAAGGUCUGAUUGGUCUAAUCAAUGAUGAAACCUAUCCCGAAGCUGAUAACCUGAAGAAAAAUAAGUACGGAUUCGGCUUCUGAGAUUAAGACCAGUAAUUCAGAGGUGGAGUAAAUUUUGUUGCCGUGAUUUUAUAACAGUUGUGUUAUAAAAUCCUGGGUUUUUUUUUUUUCUGCCAACAGUGAGGGUCGCUGUCUGCCCAUUGAUAGAGGCCAGAUUGUCUUGGAAGUUCCAAAGUUGCAACGAUUUCUGGCUAGUGCCACGAGGUUUACUUGACUGUUGUGUGAAAAGCUGAUAAGAAAACCAUCCAGAAAAAAGCUCUUCGUUUUACAAACAUGAAAAUAAAACAUGUAAUUUUGGA